rnacentral:rRNA from 1 species
CCUACGGAGUGCAGCAGUGAGGAAUAUUGGUCAAUGGGCGGGAGCCUGAACCAGCCAAGUCGCGUGAAGGAAGAAGGUACUUAGUAUUGUAAACUUCUUUUGUCGGGGAACAAAGGCGGAGACGCGUCUCCGUAUGAGUGUACCCGAAGAAAAAGCAUCGGCUAACUCCGUGCCAGCAGCCGCGGUAAUACGGAGGAUGCAAGCGUUAUCCGGAUUUAUUGGGUUUAAAGGGUGCGUAGGUGGUUAAUUAAGUCAGCGGUGAAAGUUUGUGGCUCAACCAUAAAAUUGCCGUUGAAACUGGUUGUCUUGAGUAUAUUUGAGGUAGGCGGAAUACGUGGUGUAGCGGUGAAAUGCAUAGAUAUCACGCAGAACUCCGAUUGCGAAGGCAGCUUACUAAACUAUAACUGACACUGAAGCACGAAAGCGUGGGGAUCAAACAGGAUUAGAUACCCCAGUAGUC